rnacentral:lncRNA from 1 species
GGCAGCAGCAGGGACAGAAGCCAAGGUGCCCAUCACGGACUUUGUCCUGCCAUGUGGAUACAGGGGCACUGGGUCCCACCUGUCCUAUAUCUAAUUUUUCAGGUCCAAGGGAGGAAUGGCUGCUUCUGGGUGAACAAAGAGCUGGUGAUGUAGACACCAGCUACCCCAGUCCAGCAGCGAGACCACCUGUCCAUAGCCAGCAGCCAACCUGCAGGUCCAGAGCUGACCAGGAGAUGGCGCUGCUCCCAGGACCGCUCCUCAUGGCCCUGCUGGCUCUGGGCUGGGGGACCCGUGUGGAAGGGUCAGAGGGUACUGUCCCGCUGCAGACCCUGCACUGCUACAACGACUACACCAGCCGCAUCGUGUGCAGCUGGGCGGACACCGAGGCUGCUGGGCGGCUCGUCAAUGUGACCCUCCACUGGCGGUUAAAUGAGGACCAUCCCCAGCUAGUGUCCUGUGACCUCACUAAGGAUAUGGUCUGGUCACACUGCCCAUCUCCUCCCUGUGUGCCUAGAAGAUGUGUCAUUCCCUACCAAGGUUUCAGCCUGGACAAGAAUGGCUACUUCUCAUUCCAGCCAGACCGGCUUCUGCACAUCCAGCGCACCGUGACACUGGCCCAGCAGGGUGAGGGGCUGGCAUCCCUGCCAGGGCUCUGUCCUUGUCUAGACAGCAGACACCAGGGACAGCCGGGCUAGUGCAGAAGGACCAGGUAGAGAGUGUUCAAGGGGUGGAGACGCUGUCCCGGGGCUCAGUUGGGACAGGAUGUGGUGUCCCUGUGAUGGUGACAUCAGAGCAGGUGUGGUGGGAAGGCCAUGCCCAAGCUGCUUCCCCUGCCCAGCUGCUGCCAGCACCCACCAAGCCCCUGACUUCGAGCCCUGGCAGCUUCCCUGAGGAUUCCUAUGGAAACUGACCAGCCACAGGACUUGCAUUUCUGCCACAGCCCAUGUGUGGAGGAGAUCCUUGAGGCCCAGAGGGUUCCAAAGCCCUGCCCCUGUGAUAGGUUCAAUUCCCACAGGUUUCCUGCCCGUGGGACACAAAGCUCUCCCCUCACUGCCCUCACUGGGCCCAGGGGUGCAUGGUGGGUCCGUAGAGGCCGAGAAACCAGCAGGGUCUGGGCUGGGUGCAGACCGCUACUCAUACAGCGAGGUCUGCCUGAGUUUCCAGGGGAAGGAGAUGCAGCUGGCCCUUCACAAGCCCGGGUUCAAGGCAGUGUCUCUCCAGGGAAGCUGGAUGAAAAGGGGAGUCCCUUGACAAAGGUUCGGGGUGACAUGCCAAGCCUGUGUGUGUGGUGGGUGUUGAAGAGGCUGCGACUCUUGCCCUCUUCCCCAAACAGCACCAGAUAGGCAUUGCUGUCACUGCCUUUGGGCUACAGGACUUGCCCUAGGCCUCAAAGCUUCUGGUGGCCGCACUGAGGUUGGGCCCAGGCAGGUCCCUUCCUGCCUCUGAUCCUGCCCUGGUCCUGCAGCUUCUGGCACAAGUUCGGGGAGGCUCCACUCGGCUUCCUGCCUUCAGCCACAGCCUCAGGAAGCUGCUGCCUGGAAGAGGCCGUGGGUUUGGCCACCAGCAACUCCUCUGAAAUGAAGUUUCCAAAUCUGCUCUUUUUGGAUGGGAGAGAUGGGAGAGAUGGGAGAGUCCCUCCCUUGGGGAGCUCAGAGCUGCAGCCUGGAGACUGGGAAGCUUAGGACAUUGUGUUUCGUGCAGGGGGCAGAGGGCAGAGGGCCCUGGGGGAUCAGGACAGGCUGCCCAGAAGGAAGGAAGCAGCUUUGCUGCCAAGGCUGUGGAGUAACGCCUGCGGGAGGUGCAUUCCUGGCAGGGUAGCUCCAUGUGCCAAGGCCAGGAAGCUCAGGAGGGGCCAUGUGCUGGGAAGACCCUAUCACUGUGUCAGGGAGCGUCACAUUCCUAUGCUGGACAAUGGAAGGAAGAAGGGGGAACACAGGCCGAACCUGAGGCUGGACAGGAGGCGCCCCCAUCCCAGCUCCGGUAGAGGGCUAAAGAGGAGUGGGUUAGGCUGUGUGCUGAGCUCAUUUCAGCUGCAUCUCCUCGCCCAGCCACUGUAAUAUGAGGAACACUCUAGCAGCGUACAUCUGCCAGUGCGCCCGUGUCCUGUACAACUUCACUGGACACAAAUUUGAUUUCAUUUGUUAUGUAUGGCAAAAGAUUGCUUUUUUGUAUGUGUAGUUCUGAGCCCAGGGCUUUUGCACUGAGCUGCGUCUCCAACCCUUUUUCAUUUUCUAUUCUGAGACAGGGUCUCACUAUGUUACUCAGUUGCCCAGGCUGGGCUUGAAUUUAUGAUCCUUUUGCCUCAGCCUGCCAAAGUGCUGGGAUUACAGGGGUGUGUCACCACACCUGGCAAGAUUAUUCUUAUCAAUUGUAAAAAGAUGUAUACAAAUGUAAAACUUAUUCUUAGAUCCUUGGCCAUACAACCACUGUGGGCCAGAUGUGCCCACUGGGGAAUACUGUGGCAGACUGUGAUGCAGAGGAUUGUGGGCAGGUGUCACAUGUCCGGAGGGCUGAGGAAGUCAGGCCACGCGAGGGGUGGGGAGAGUCACAGGGUAGGGUGCUGGGUGGGAGAGGAGAGAAGGGCUGCAGUGGGAACCCCACAGUCAGAGGGGCUUCAUCCAGGGAAGGAAACCAGGAGGGUGACAGGAAUGGGAUAUACAAAUCCUGGCCACAGAACAGAAUGUGUUCCCAUACUGGGCAGAUGCAGCUACUAAGAGGGCACAAGGGGCACCAGUGAGUUUCUGUCAGGCGACCGAGGAAGAAGUUAGGGACAACAGGGGACAGGGAAUAUGGCAUUUUGUCUCCAGAAGUGCUCACUGAGUCUGGAAGUUAGAUGUAGCCACUGGAACCUUGGCAACGAAUGAGGCAGGGUACAGAUGGGUAUCUGAUUAGUCUGAUGCACCCACAGUCCAGAUCACGGACAUUUCACUUCCUCUAUUGCUUUCUCCAUCUGUGACAUGAGCCAGGGGAAUAAAAUGGCUGAAGCUGGAUGGUUAGGGCAAAAUUGGCCCCAGUCUGCCCAGCUAGUGACAGCCUUCUGGAGCUCUCUGCUGGGACAGAUGCCCACCCCAUGUCAAUCUUGGGCUUGGGAUCUGUGAUCGAUUCCUGAUGUCUGUCCUGGCUGGGAGGGCAGGGGUGGACGCGUGCUGUGCACCUGCCACUGGGGCUAAUG